AGUUUUGCAGGUUUGCAUUCAGCUGAUAUGUGCUGAUGCUGUGCAAAUCCAUGCAAAACUGA
rnacentral:pre_miRNA from 1 species